UGAGACUCUAACCAUUGUACCAUCCUGCUCCGGAAUGAUCGUGUGAAAAUAAUGAUAAGCCAGUGUGGUGCAGUGGUCAGAGUGUCAGA